GAUGAACGCUGGCGGCGUGCCUAAUACAUGCAAGUCGAGCGAAUGGAUUAAGAGCUUGCUCUUAUGAAGUUAGCGGCGGACGGGUGAGUAACACGUGGGUAACCUGCCCAUAAGACUGGGAUAACUCCGGGAAACCGUGGCUAAUACCGGAUAACAUUUUGAACCGCAUGGUUCGAAAUUGAAAGGCGGCUACGGCUGUCACUUAUGGAUGGACCCGCGUCGCAUUAGCUAAUUGGUGAGGUAACGGCUCACCAAGGCAACGAUGCGUAGCCGACCUGAGAGGGUGAUCGGCCACACUGGGACUGAGACACGGCCCAGACUCCUACGGGAGGCAGCAGUAGGGAAUCUUCCGCAAUGGACGAAAGUCUGACGGAGCAACGCCGCGUGAGUGAUGAAGGCUUUCGGGUCGUAAAACUCUGUUGUUAGGGAAGAACAAGUGCUAGUUGAAUAAGCUGGCACCUUGACGGUACCUAACCAGAAAGCCACGGCUAACUACGUGCCAGCCGCCGCGGUAA
rnacentral:rRNA from 1 species